rnacentral:rRNA from 1 species
CCUACGGGUGGCAGCAGUGAGGAAUAUUGGUCAAUGGGCGGGAGCCUGAACCAGCCAAGUCGCGUGAGGGAAGACGGUCCUAUGGAUUGUAAACCUCUUUAGGCGGGGAGCAAUGCCGGGCACGCGUGUCCGGCUGUGAGAGUACCCGAAGAAAAAGCAUCGGCUAACUCCGUGCCAGCAGCCGCGGUAAUACGGAGGAUGCGAGCGUUAUCCGGAUUUAUUGGGUUUAAAGGGUGGGCAGGCGGAUUUUUAAGUCAGCGGUCAAAGCGUGGGGCUCAACCGCAUCCAGCCGUUGAAACUGGGGAUCUAGAGUGUGCGAGAGGUAUGCGGAAUGCGUGGUGUAGCGGUGAAAUGCAUAGAUAUCACGCAGAACCCCGAUUGCGAAGGCAGCAUACCGGUGCACAACUGACGCUCAGGCACGAAAGCGUGGGUAUCGAACAGGAUUAGAUACCCCGGUAGUC